CACCGUGCUUCUGUGCAGCAGAUGGACUCCAGUGUCACUGGGCAGCAGACCCUGCUUUGCUGACUUAGUACAGUAUUUAAUUAUCCUACUGGGGAGAGGUUAAGAUAUUUUAAAUAUCUAAGUUGCAGCAUUGAGGCUUCCACACUCAGCUGCUGUGAGCAGCCUUGGAGCAGGCAUUCCCUCUGUCUGUGCCUCGUGCCCAGGAAAGGAGGGAAGGAAUAUGGAAAUACACCCCAAUUAUGUAAGUUUGAAACUGAGCAUCUGACUCAGCAGAAGGAUUUCACUUGUCAGACCUGCUUCUUUUGUAUAGAGAGAGAGAAGAAAGAUGCUAAAGCUGCCUGAAAUAGAUCUUUUCAUACAAUUUUUAUUACUUGGAGCUGAUAAACAGAAUUCAUGGUUUCAGUCCACUACCCUCCAAUAGGAGUAACAAUUAGUGUUAUUUGCUUACCACCAUGCAGUCAAGUACAACCACAUAAUUGCAGAAAGAGGAGAAAAAUGGCACAAAAAAAUUCCCCAAAUCUGGGAGAAAUUUAAAUCACAUGGUUAUGCUCAUAGUUUGGAAGAACAUGUUGUUAUUAGGACAUUUUUGUUUACUCUUCCUUUUGUGCCUUGUCUUUCUUACAUCCUUUACAGUAAUUUAAAUUACAUUAUUAGUCCACUGUGGCAGAGAAUGUGUCUCACAAUGCUAAAGCAUUACACUCCAGGGCUUUUGUUCCUUCUUUAGGGUUUAGUCUCAGCAGUUUAAGAAAGUAGUCCACUGAUCACCCUCCUGUUGAAAGGUAGCACUAGCUCGGUUACAGAGUGAUGGUGAAAAUACCAGCAUACCUGGACAAACUGAACUAGAAAUUUUUUGUCAGCCUUUAUUUUUUAUUAUUUUCAGUUUGUCCAUGCUCUCCUCUAGACUGGGCAACACUUAUUGCUCCUUGACACUCGCUACUCUGCAUCAGACUCCAAAUAACUCUGAGUGUAAUUCUCUAAGUAAACUUGGUCUAGUGAGUACUUCUGAAAAAAAAAAAAAAUCCUUUUCCUUUGAUUCCAACUGAAAGACAUUGUUUUUAAAUGCUCCCAUGCCAGGGGAAACCCAGCUGCAGUCACCAGAACUGAGUGCCAGAUAAAAUUGCGUUAUCUGUGAAAUCAGGUCGUAAGCAUUCCAAACGGUCCCUGAAAAAGUACAUGGCUGGAACAUAACUGGCCCAAAGCUGUCUACACAUCGCUCUUCUGCCCCUGCAGCACAGAAAGGCAGCUGCUCACCUCCCAUGACAACGCUGCACUUUUCCUGAGGCAAUGAAAAAUACUCAGAGGAAAACAAGGCAGCUUUACCAGCGGAAGGAAGAGCUGAGAAGCUGCUCUGGGCACGGCCUGGGCUCUCUGAGUGGGAGGAAAGCAAAACCUGAGCACCUCCUGGCUAGCUGGGCACAGCCUGCUAGGGAGGCUGAGCCCCACGAGAAAAUGAAUCAAUGGCUGUAAAACUGAAAUCCUUAUCACAACAAGUGAGGCACGAGGGGACAAAAUCAGUCUGCUUUUGCAACUUUCAUCUUGUCAUUUUCCAUUUUGCGUACUUUUGACUUUGCACGCUUUGUUCUUUUUCUUUGUUAAGUACAGGGUAUGUGAUUACCCUCUGUAGAAAUGAUAAAAAGGCAACCUGACGGGUUAUUCUGUGGGAUUUUUCAGAUGUGAAUGCAGCAGAGAUACAGCUGAUAAGAGCCACCACACUUGUUUGCACUAGUGCAGCCACAGCAAAGAUAAAAAUCUCAGUGUCUCGGCUUUUACCCAGGUCGCUGAAUUGUUGGUGUAUUUGGAAGAGGUGGAUGCCUCCAGUGACCUAUGGAUGUGCUGCACACAUCUGUGCCCUGUGCAAGGUCAAGUGCUCAGAAAGAAGCCCAGACAGCUUCGUUAUCCUGCCUGGCUCAGGAAAUGUGGACACAGAGCCAUGAGGAGUGAGCAGGACAUUGGAGUGAUGGAGAGAAAAGAGGAGUGACCCACGUGGUUUGCAAGGGAUGGAGCAGCAGCACUGGACUACUUUGCCUGCUGUGGUAGGAACUCAGACUGGUGAUGGAUUUUGAUCUGACAGCCUUCAGCAGAUGAUGCUCUAAUCUCCCUUUGGCAUCUCCCUGCCAAUUGUCAAUGCAGCCAUGUGCACAUCUGAGAGCAAAUUUUCUAGGACAGCACUCGGAGAUCCAGAAGUGCCAUGUUGUGCCAGAAAUCCCUGGUUUCUCAGUCCAGGAGCCCAAAGCAGCUGAAAGACCUUCCCAGAGCCAUGAGCACGGGGCUUGUCCUACUGCUGGGAAAUGCUUCUGCAUGGUGUUCUUUCAAGCAGACAUCCAGAGCUGCACUUUAAAAUGUCACUCAGAAACGUUCUGUGCCUGCAGACAGAAGGGGGGAGGUGGUGUCUGCCAGCUGUUGGGUUGCUCUGAAAGGCUGUUUUGUCCACUGUGAAACCCCCUUGCCCUCUCCAGAGAUGCAGGUCCCUAAAGGAGUUACCACACCAGAGAGAAAAAUGUUCACCAAUGCAGAGCUGCCUUCCUUGUCACGUUCCUGCUUGGCUUGUUUAGGCAUUUUUGAAGCUCCUCUGAACCCCCACCCAGUGUUUUGUAGGGGCCUUAACACCGAAAAUCAGUCUCAUCAUGAGCCUCAGUCCUUCUCCUACCAGCUUUCAGUAACAGUACAUGGAAAGCAAAUCCAAAUCUUUGCCACACCAGAAACCAGAGCUGCAAAGCUGUCCUAUUGUUUCAUAGCCUACUUUUAUUUUUGAGCCUUCAGACCUGUGGCACGUCCUCUGCAAAGGUUAAAUUCAAAAUUAACUGCACAAGGCGGGAAAGGAGGAAAGUCUGUCUUUCGGCAUACUUGAGAGUCCCCAAACCCCUCCAAAACAAAAUGGAAGUGUCUCUGGUUCAAGGCAGCCUACACGGCAGCGAGCUGCAGGAGUUGUAAGCUAUUAUUUUAGUUCCCAAGAAAAGUAAUUACUAUAGCAACCAACACAUCGCUCUUUGGCUGCUGCCGAGACACAAACAACUUGCACACAAAGGCACAUCAGAAACGUGCUGUGCAAAAUGUGCUCGGGUAGCUCUGUGUUUUCGAGAGCUCUGCAAAAUGUGCGUAACAGGCUUCUGAGAAAUGACUGCCAGAAUAACAGCAAGCAAUUGUGCUGUGCCACGAUCCCAAAAUAACCUAAUCAAUGGCUCAGUAGCUCAGUAUAUUUGCCCCUGAAGAGAUGAAGAGAUGAAGCAAAAAAAAAAAA